rnacentral:rRNA from 1 species
AUGCUCGCAUCCCCAAGCCCACGGACGAUGACGGCGUCGGCCUGCACCCCGGAAACUGCCCACGGGGCGCACUUGUUCAAGAUCAACCGGUACAGCCUGUACAGGGACUUGGGCGUCGGCAGGUUGAUCGAGUCCUCGACCUUCGCCGUCGGCGGCUACCACUGGUGCGUCCACUUCUACCCCGACGGUCACUCGGGGGUAACCAAAGACCAUGUUUCAGUUUUCGUGGAGCUCAAAACCAAGAACGCCAAGGCCAGGGCGGUCUUCGAUCUGAGGCUAGUCGACCGUCGCACACAGCCUUAUGCAUGGCCAAACCCUAGCGAGAUAGACCCCUCGGAGUUUGACUCAUGUGAUGAUAACUCGGCCUGCUGUGGUUUCCUCGAUUUCGUUGAGAAAAUCGAGCUCAAAGAUUACAUCCUGGAUGACGUGCUUGUCAUUGAGUGCAAUAUUGCUGUUAUCAAAUUUAAGAAGACCACCAAGACGAAAUUCGAGGUCCAAGUUCCACGGUCCAACUUGCUGGACAAUCUUGGUAAAUUGCUUGAAACACAAGAGGGGGCCGAUGUGUCUUUCAAGGUCGACGGGGAGGUUUUCCCAGCUCAUAAGAACAUCCUUGCUAUGCAGUGCCCAGUCUUCAAGGCAGAGUUCUACGGGCCGAUGAAGAACAAGUCUAAGCAUAAUGUAAACAUUAUUGAAGAUAUGCAGCCUGCUGUUUUCAAGGCAUUGCUCCACUUCAUCUACAUGGAUUCAUUGGCCCCAAUGGAUGACCUCAGUGAUGACGAGUAUGAAGAGAUGCUCAAACAUCUACUUGUUGCUGCAGAUAGGUACGCCAUUGACAGGAUGAAGCUCAUGUGCGAAAGCAAGCUUUGUGAUAGACUUUGCGCCAAGAACGUGGCGACCACGUUGGCUCUAGCCGACCAGUAUCAUUGUAGCCAGCUCAAAGAUGGCUGCAUCGAAUUUAUCAACUCUUCUAAUAGAAUGAGUGAUGUGGUGGCAAGCAAAGGGUAUGAGCACCUCAAAAGGACAUGCCCUACUAUUGUUGUUGAUAUAUGGGAGAAAGCAGCUAAGACUCGCAAAAUUUAG